rnacentral:tRNA from 1 species
AGGCACAUCUUCUAAUGGUCAGGAAGCUACCCUGAUAAGGUAGUAAUCUCAGUUCAAUUCUGGGUGUGCCUA